GAUGAACGCUGGCGGCGUGCCUAAUACAUGCAAGUCGAGCGAACGGACGAGGAGCUUGCUUCUCUGACGUUAGCGGCGGACGGGUGAGUAACACGUGGAUAACCUACCUAUAAGACUGGGAUAACUUCGGGAAACCGGAGCUAAUACCGGAUGAUAUUUUGAACCGCAUGGUUCAAUAGUGAAAGACGGUUUUGCUGUCACUUAUAGAUGGAUCCGCGCUGCAUUAGCUAGUUGGUAAGGUAACGGCUUACCAAGGCAACGAUGCGUAGCCGACCUGAGAGGGUGAUCGGCCACACUGGAACUGAGACACGGUCCAGACUCCUACGGGAGGCAGCAGUAGGGAAUCUUCCGCAAUGGGCGAAAGCCUGACGGAGCAACGCCGCGUGAGUGAUGAAGGUCUUCGGAUCGUAAAACUCUGUUAUUAGGGAAGAACAAAUGUGUAAGUAACUGUGCACAUCUUGACGGUACCUAAUCAGAAAGCCACGGCUAACUACGUG
rnacentral:rRNA from 1 species